UACGUAAGUACAGAGGCGGCGGAAUUCCUGAUGCAAGUAAUCUGCACAAAAUGUUUCUAUAUCUAGAAGAAUACAGCAUUCACACCCCAGUUCGUUUGUGUAACGGUGAACGGUAUCAGAAACAUACCGGAAUUGCUAGUGGAAGCUAUUUCACCGAACUAGUUGAAAGCAUAUGUAAUCACAUUCUAGUUUAUUAUGCCGAAUUCAAGGAAAAAGUUGCAAUUAAUAAGAUUUUCGUGCUGGGUGACAAUGCCAUCGUGGCGUACAAUAGACCAAUAACACCAUUGGCUGUGGCAGAUCACCUUGCUCCUCUUGGGGUGGAAGUCAACAUACCACAUUCUCGCUAUUCUAGGAAUCUACAUAAUGUACCAUUCCUUGGCUAUCAGAUCCAUAAGAAACGGUGAGAACUGGAAUACUACAGCCUCACGUUGGAUCACGAAUGGAAACACCAUUUGAACACCCUAAACGUACAAAUGUUGUGCGAAUCGAGUAACAGUACAAAGUGCACGAGCAAAAAUGAGCUUUUCUGGGAAAAGGAAAAGACCCCGAAUAAUGUGGCUGAGAGUUAGUGUCGACGAUGCGACUGAAAGUGCUUUCAUAUUACGAUAUCAACAAUAAUUUAUUUUUCGUGUUUCUAAGCGCUUUAAGUCCGCGUUUCGUUGAAAUCCCUGUAUUGUUCGCUGGUAAGACCGAUUCUCGAGUUUGCGUGUACUGUCUGGUCACCAGUCCAAACCACCUGGAUUAAUAGAUUGGAAAAUGUUCAGAACAGGGCCACACGUUUCUUGUUUUAUCGUUUGCCAUGGGCUAAUCGCAUGUCCCGUCCUCCUUAUAGGACUCGCUGUUUAUUGUU